rnacentral:lncRNA from 1 species
UGGCAUAUUGACAACGCUCAUAUAUUAAAUACUAGUAAUCGCUGCUGUUGUUGCUUGAAGAGGACCUCAUCCAACACAGAGGAACUUCUAAGGACUUCCAGGUGGUCCAGUAAGACUCUGCCCUUCCACUGCAGGCGGUGGGGAUCUCAACCCUUGCGGUGAGAUGUGGCCAAAGAAGAAAAGAAAGGAGAACGAAACGGACUUCUGUUGUCUAUCUCUAAGGAAGCUAAAGUAUCACUGACUGCACUAGAAAUAUGGACUCACUUCGAUUUUCACAUAGAGCGCCUUACACAGUUACAGACAGAAACUAGACUGGCAUCUAGUGGGGCAUUGAAAAAUAAGAGCCUCCUGCCAAUACCACGACCUCUGAGGACAUGUUUACUAAGACAAAUUCAAGUUUCAAGACACAGCUAUUCGUCUCCAAGCCACCGAUCCCUAAACCAUCAAGCGAAAUUUCACAGUAAAUCAAGUUAUAGACGGCUGAAAUUCCGAGCUCAAACAAUGCCACUUUUUUCUUGAGCCCAAAUAAGAACUACUACAGGAUGGGUUUGGAGGGACUCGGAUUUGGACCCGGCUUGGGGCCGUGCACACGUCUGAGAUUCCGGCUGGUGUCUGGGCUGGAGGAGGACACCGGAGCGGGGCUCCAGACGCCGGCGGCGGGCCCGGCUGGAGCACCGCAGGUCGUGCAGGAGGCGCCCGCCCGCCCUGCCGGCCCGCGCCGCCGCCGUCAGACCAGUCGGACGGCUUCGCCCGCCCCGCCCCGCGCCGCCGGUUCUGCCGCCGCCCUAGUCUCCGCGCCGGAAACCCAGUGCCUCCCGCGAGCCGCGCGCCAGAGCUGGACCGGCCCGGCCCCCGGCGCAGCCGCCGCCCCGCAGCCCCCAAGCCCGCGCCUGGGCUCCGGGCCAUGGGGCGCCCGGGCGGGUGGGCGGCCGGAGCAGGAGCCCCGUGGGACUCGGGUCUUGGACUACACAGAGCCGUGAUGCAAUGUCCACAGACAGGGUAGAGACCCUGUGAGUCCAGGAAGCAGAGAAUCCUAGAUUCCAGGGUGCCCAGGGUGUGAUGCAGAAAGGCCAGGUAGGCACGUCCCUAUGGACUCCUUGCUCUGUGUGUGUGUGUGUGUGGUGUGUGUUUGGGGAUGUAGCUGGAGCCACGCCCUCUGUAUUGUGGGCCAGGCUGGCCCAGGUCUGAAGCCUUUGAUUGUGGGUCUUUUUUUAAAGAAAUUAAUUAACUACUUUAUUUUUGGCUGCAGUGGGUAUUGUUGCUUCCCGAGGGUUUUCUCUAGUUGUGACUAGUGAGGAGCACCAGCUCGAGGAACGUGGGCUCAGUAGUUCUGGUGCACAGGCUUAAGGCACGUAGCUCCAAGGCAUGUAGGAUCUUCCCU